AUUGAACGCUGGCGGCAUGCCUUACACAUGCAAGUCGAACGGUAACAGGUCUUCGGAUGCUGACGAGUGGCGAACGGGUGAGUAAUACAUCGGAACGUGCCUAGUAGUGGGGACAACUACUCGAAAGAGUGGCUAAUACCGCAUGCGAUCUACGGAUGAAAGCAGGGGAUCGCAAGACCUUGUGCUACUAGAGCGGCCGAUGGCAGAUUAGGUAGUUGGUGGGAUAAAAGCUUACCAAGCCGACGAUCUGUAGCUGGUCUGAGAGGACGAUCAGCCACACUGGGACUGAGACACGGCCCAGACUCCUACGGGAGGCAGCAGUGGGGAAUUUUGGACAAUGGGCGCAAGCCUGAUCCAGCAAUGCCGCGUGCAGGAUGAAGGCCUUCGGGUUGUAAACUGCUUUUGUACGGAACGAAAAGCCCCGGGUUAAUACCCUGGGGUCAUGACGGUACCGUAAGAAUAAGCACCGGCUAACUACGUGCCAGCCGCCGCGGUAA
rnacentral:rRNA from 1 species